rnacentral:hammerhead_ribozyme from 1 species
AUCCAACUGACGAGUCCCAAACAGGACGAAACCUACGUCAAACUGGAU